rnacentral:snRNA from 1 species
AUAAAUCUUCGCAGGGGAGGUACCAUGAUCACAAAGGUGGUUUUCCCAGGGCGAAGCUUAUCCGCUGCAUUCCUGAUGCGCCAACCCCAGCAAUUUCCCCAAAUGUGGGAAACUCAACUGCGUACGGUGGGGAACUGCAUUUGCUCUUUUCCA